UAACGAAGGGGGCUAGCGUUGCUCGGAAUUACUGGGCGUAAAGCGCACGUAGGCGGCUCUUUAAGUCGGAGGUGAAAUCCUGGAGCUCAACUCCAGAAUUGCCUUCGAUACUGAAGAGCUCGAGUCCGGGAGAGGUGAGUGGAACUGCGAGUGUAGAGGUGAAAUUCGAUAGAUAUCAGGAGGAACACCGGUGGUGUAGACGGCUUUCUGGACCGUAACUGACGCUGAGACACGAAAAGCGUGGGUAGGCAAACAGGG
rnacentral:rRNA from 1 species